rnacentral:rRNA from 1 species
UACGUAGGGGGCUAGCGUUGUCCGGAUUUAUUGGGCGUAAAGAGCGUGUAGGCGGCCAGGUAGGUCUGCUGUGAAAACUCGAGGCUUAACCUCGAGCUGUCGGCGGAAACCAUCUGGCUAGAGUCCGGAAGAGGAGAAUGGAAUUCCCGGUGUAGCGGUGAAAUGCGCAGAUAUCGGGAAGAACACCCGUGGCGAAGGCGGGUCUCUGGACAGUUCCUGACGCUGAGGCACGAAGGCCAGGGGAGCAAACGGG